rnacentral:rRNA from 1 species
GACGAACGCUGGCGGCGUGCUUAACACAUGCAAGUCGAACGGAAAGGCCCUGCUUUUGUGGGGUGCUCGAGUGGCGAACGGGUGAGUAACACGUGAGUAACCUGCCCAUGACUUUUGGAUAACUUCAGGAAACUGGGGCUAAUACCGGAUAGGAGCUUCUGCUGCAUGGUGGUGGUUGGAAAGGGUCGGCGGUUGGGGAUGGAUGCGCGGCUUAUCAGCUUGUUGGUGGAGUAGUGGCUUACCAAGGGGUUGACGGGUAGUCGCCCUGAGAGGGUGACCGGCACAAUGGGGACUGAGAUACGGGCCAGAGCAGUACGGGAGGCAGCGGUAGGGAAUAUAGCAUGAUCGGCCGACGCCGGAUGAAGCAACGCCGCGUGCGGGAUGUAGGGCUUUGGGGUAAGAAAAGCACUGGACUGAGACGAAGCGUGAGUGACGGUACCGGAUCAAGAAGCAACGGCUAACUACGUG